AUGUUGGGUGACAUCAUUGUCA
rnacentral:siRNA from 1 species